UGUCGUCAGCUCGUGUUGUGAAAUGUUGGGUUAAGUCCCGCAACGAGCGCAACCCUUAUCCUUUGUUGCCAGCGGUCCGGCCGGGAACUCAAAGGAGACUGCCAGUGAUAAACUGGAGGAAGGUGGGGAUGACGUCAAGUCAUCAUGGCCCUUACGACCAGGGCUACACACGUGCUACAAUGGCGCAUACAAAGAGAAGCGACCUCGCGAGAGCAAGCGGACCUCAUAAAGUGCGUCGUAGUCCGGACUGGAGUCUGCAACUCGACUCCAUGAAGUCGGAAUCGCUAGUAAUCGUGGAUCAGAAUGCCACGGUGAAUACGUUCCCGGGCCUUGUACACACCGCCCGUCACACCAUGGGAGUGGGUUGCAAAAGAAGUAGGUAGCUUAACCUUCGGGAGGGCGCUUACCACUUUGUGAUUCAUGACUGGGGUGAAGUCGUAACAAGGUAACCGUAGGGGAACCUGCGGUUGGAUCACCUCCUUACCUGAAAGAA
rnacentral:rRNA from 2 species